UACGGGGGGGGCAAGCGUUGUUCGGAAUUACUGGGCGUAAAGGGCUCGUAGGUGGCCAACUAAGUCAGACGUGAAAUCCCUCAGCUUAACUGGGGAACUGCGUCUGAUACUGGAUGGCUUGAAUUCGGGAGAGGGAUGCAGAAUUCCAGGUGUAGCGGUGAAAUGCGUAGAUAUCUGGAGGAAUACCGGUGGCGAAGGCGGCAUCCUGGACCGACAUUGACGCUGAUGAGCGAAAGCUAGGGGAGCAAACGGG
rnacentral:rRNA from 1 species